ACACCUUGUAGAGUCCAUGCCCCGACGAAUUGAAGCUGUUUUGAGGGCAACAGGGCGGGGUACAACUCAAUAUUAGGAAGGUGUUCUUAAUGUUUUGCACACAGUGUAUAAUUGUUUGUUUGACUAUAAUUGAUUUCAAUUAAAUGAGCCAAAAAUAAACAAAAUCAGUGUUUGUGCAAACCACAAUAUGGAACAAAUGGAUCCUUUGCCAUUUUCUUAUGUCAGUAGCAUUUGAAUUGUUGUGUACAAGGAAUUACAUUUGUGGUUCUGAUGAUGUUAGACAGUUCUACUAAUCUCUGGUCCUCAAUAGUACAAUAUGACACAGGUUGUGUCAUAUUCUGCCACCGCAGCCCAAAGGACCCACUGGGCACACACUGGUUGAAUCAACAUUGUUUCCACGUCAUUUCAAUGAAAUUACGCUGAACCAACGUGGAAUAGACGUUGAAUUGCCCAGUGGGGAAGUUAUCAGAGGGAUACUAGCUUAACUAAUACGGCAGAAGGUAGAGCUGUUGGGCUCUGCGGGGCAUGUGAGGACAUGAAAAAGACACCCAUGAUUCAACAUAACAUGGUAGAGUCUGGGGAAAUGACCGUUUUUAGCAAUGAACAUCAAACCACAGACAGACAGCUCCCUGUUUUCAUCUGCAGCAUGCCACCAAGCCCAUCAUACAGGAAACUGUUUCCCUGACUGGUACACUGGCACGAAAGGACAUUUGCAUGAGACAGAAAACAAAGAGAUGACUAAUAGAGAGAGACAGCAAGAGAGAGAGGGAGAUGUAGUGAUGCAAAGUAAAGGAGUGAUGGACAUUUCAGAAGCUAGACCGAGAAAUAGUUGUUCCAUUUCUGCAGAGAACCCGCCUGAAUAGAUGCACAACGUUCAGGUCAACACGUUUUGAACAUGUCCGUGCCUGAAGUGUUCUGUGCUUACUGUGCUCUACGAUGGCGACACCUGCUCCUGUCUCCGAGCUGCCACGGGCUACUCUGAAGGAGCAUUUCACACACAUGGUUGGACAUUUCACUGGUACCUGACUCAGAACGUACCAGAUGGCUUUCAUCUCAUCCCCAAGGGCCAUCUGGAGAACGCCGACAGGCAAGACACCGCGGAUACCAUGGUUAACUCCCACGGCCACGAUGGAGCUAUGACGAUCUCCCUGGAAAUCAUGAAGAUGAAUCAGAAGUGAAUGGCAGAUCACCAAGGCUGAGAUUGAUGGAGCAGCUGCCUCAAUUCCGGUUCCUGCCUCUCCUGUCUACCUCACCUGUACAUCUCAGACUGGCGGCCAUGUUGUGGCCCCUUCACACCCCGGCUGUUAUGUUGAUGGUCCAAUUCACUUCAACAUCAGAGUCAACUCCAUAGAUGAGCCCGUCGUUUAAUCUAAAGCCUCACCUGCCUGUCUCACCAUGUUUCAACCUGUUCCUGUAAAGACUGAGGACAACGGUAAGACAGAUAGAAUGGGGUGUUUGGCAGUCUUACUGUAGAUCUGUAUGGAGAAGGUUGUUCGGGCAGUGGUAAGAACAGGGAAACGCUUUGGAACUGAAGUUGAUUUUGGUAUGAGGAACCACAAGAUUGCAACGUUGUCCAGUAACCUGUAUUUAGAGAGCGCAAGAUCAAACAGCCCUUGUCGUGGCAAUUUCCUGUAUUACCAAAUGAGGAGAGUUACAAACCACACACCAGUCAGAGUUAUACUUAAACUUCAUCUUUAAUAAUAUGAGCUUUACCAUAGCCCUUUUGAUUCUCAGAUCAAUUCUGUGUCAAUAAUGAAUUCUGAGAGUGCCUACAGAAGAAUACAAAGAUCUUCUAUAGCUAAGAUACACCCCUCUCAACUUACAUGACGAACCACAGAUCUUAGGGACAGUUCACAAAGAAAGACUUUUACUUGAGAGAGGAGUAUUCCAUAGCCAGAUAGCAUUCGCUAUAAAUUAUCGUUUAGUUUGGUCUCUAAGACGAAGUUCAAAUCUCGUUCCUGGUACUUCAUAGUACAAAAACAUUACCUCAUCCAAGGCAUGACUCAAUUGUCAAUUCUAGAUACUCCCAUCUCAAGUAAACCCCCUCUUGACCCCACUCCUGGACAAGCUCACUGAGGGGAGUGACUUGCGCACAGACAUUGUAGAGACAAGUAAUUAGUUCCUCUUUAAUCACGCCAUCCCUUCACAUGGUUUAACAAAUACAUUCACAUAUGAAGACAAUGUUCCAUCCUGUUCUCUUCCCUUUCUGAUAUUCUGCAUAGCACCAGUGACAUACUAAAGACAAGCCUGACCUCUCCCCUCUCUGGGCCCCAAAUGACUGAGCCCCAAAUGACUGAGCCCCAAGUGGCUGAGCCCCAGCUGAGAAAAAAGUGCAACUGCCAACACUAUAGUCCAAAAGGAUACAUUCUAAUGACAAGUAUCUCACAUAAGCAUAUUAUGUAAAUAAAACAUAUUAUUAUUAUUUAUCUAUGUUACCCAACUUAUUCUGAUUCAUCCGCCACACCCUAAACCUGAAUGAUUAUACUGCGUUCUCGAAACAGUUUCAGUUUGAGUGGAAUAUGUACAGGAUAAUCCACAGAACCAUCUAUUUUACAAACAGGAACCUUUUUGUACUGUGUUUGUCACUUGUUUAUUUUACCAGAUGAGCGAAUCUAGAGGUGCCAUCUUUUGUAUUAUUAUUAUUUAAAAAUAUAUAUUUUAACCCAUCAGGGAUGACACACGUUUUAACAUUUUUUAUUUAUUUACAGCUUUUCUGCUACAUGUACACACAUUUUACAUACACAUACACAUUUUACAUACACAUACACAUUUUACAUACAUGGAGAGGUGCCAACUAAAACUCAAACUCAAUCUGAAAAGGAGGUUCUACUGUGUGUUUGAAGCCUGUUUUGCAUGUCACAUACCUGUCACAUAUCAGUUUGCAAACAAUGUCUGAAAAAAAAUAAUUGAGUUAAUAAA